CUCUAGUGUGACUUCAAAGGAGGUGGCACCCGGGCGAGGGCUCGUCUGAACGUCCCACGCUGGCUGGCAGGAGACCUUGUGGAGGUGCAGGUGGAAUGGGCAUGGCCCAGAGCAGCUGCAAGGUUUGCAGCAGUGGAGCGAAAGGUGCCCAGCUGCAGGCCUAUGGAAGAUUGGCUGCUCCCGGAGCUCCCUCUUCUGUGCUCCUUUGUUUUGUCUCUGCAGGAGCAGACAAGAAGCAGAUAAUGUUUAUCUCCCCGUUUGGUGAGCUGUGCCCAUCUGGGCUCCUGAGGGCUGGACGAGAUGUCCUGGGAAGAGUCGGGGGGAAGAAAAUAUCCCAAGCUGCCUACGGUGAGAGGCUUGGGGGCCAGGAGAGCAUGGCACUGCCACAGCAGCCCCCAGCUCCGGCCGCUGCGGGGCUGCCUGCUGGCCGCCGGGCAUCCCCGGGCGCUGGGCGCCCUGCCAGCUCGGAGCA